UACGUAGGGCGCAAGCGUUAUCCGGAAUUAUUGGGCGUAAAGAGCUCGUAGGCGGUUUGUCGCGUCUGCCGUGAAAGUCCGGGGCUCAACUCCGGAUCUGCGGUGGGUACGGGCAGGCUAGAGUGAUGUAGGGGAGACUGGAAUUCCUGGUGUAGCGGUGAAAUUCGUAGAUAUCGGGAGGAACACCGGUGGCGAAGGCGGCGACCUGGGUAGAUACUGACGCUGAGGCGCGAAAGCGUGGGGAGCAAACAGG
rnacentral:rRNA from 1 species